GGCGUCGAAACCUGAGGCGCGGCCUGUGGCCCUGGGCGCCAGGCCUGGGGAUCGCUGAGUUCAGUGCGGUGAUCGAAUUGAUCCCGGAGAACAGGAUGGCGAGUGACACGAAGCUUGGCCCUUAAGCUUAAGUACCCACCUGACAGCUAAAAGCUGUGGUGAAGGGCUCGGACUUCGAAUCCUGCUCGCUUACAGACUAACUUAUGCAGUUGGUCCCACGCUUACGAAGCUCAUUUUUCACUGAUUUACCGAUAAUCCAGUCUUAAGAAGUUUUAAAAAUAACUUCGGAUAAUGAAAAUGUAAAUACUGACCUGGCAUGGUGGCGCACGUCUUUAAUCACAGCACUAGAUUAGGCAGAGUCAAAUGGAUCUCUUGAAUUGGAGGUCAGCCAGGUCUACACAGCGAGUCCAGGACAGCCAGAGCAACAGAGAAACAGUCUCAAAAAAGAAAAAAGGAAAAAAAAAAGAAGAAGAAAGAAAGAAAGCAAAGAAAAUUUAAAUGCGUAGUUUUGUUGUAAAUACAAAAAAGAAAAUUUUAUUUAAUAAGUAGCGAUUUCCUGCUUAGUUUUUCCUGGAGUUUACAAAGUAUUGAUAUAUUUUCCCAAACGAAGAAGUAGCCCUCAACUAUCCAGGGCUGGGGAUAUAAUUCCCUAACGUGGGCAGGGCCGUGAAUCCUGUGUCCAGCGCAGACCAAAUUCUUUGACUGAAAUUGAUUUUCUAUUACAUUCCUCUUUAAGUUUAGUGUUUCUUUUUGCACACGUGAAUAGGGUUUCACGUGCCCUGGUGCCUCAGGAGGUUAGAGAACAACUUGAGGGAGUGGGUUUUUUUUUCCACCAACCUGCAGAGCCAUCUCACCAGUAUGAAAUGGUUAUGAGUCUGGGGGAUGUUUAGAGAUUCACUAGAAUGCAGCGCCCAGCCACCUCAGUCGGGUUUAUAAAGGCAAAGAAUGCAAAAUUACAAUGUGUUUAUGUUCAAGCAGAACAAAUUUAUUUACAGGAACAUCAGUUAAAAAUAUAUAUCCUUAGCAGUCCUUAACAUAGGAGGUCUAAUUUUGCCUAACUACAGAGAUUUUUAACUUUUAAACAUAGUUAGCCAUCAACAUGUCAGCCAUCACAGAAAUGAGUUUUUAAAUUAAUUUGUUUUCUGUGUAUUUAUGUUUGUGUUUUUUUGCUCUAAGAAAAUAUCAGAUCCUUUGCAACUGUGGUUAUGCAAUGAUUGUGAGCCGCCUGCCAUGUGGGUGCCUGGAUCAAACUUUGGUGCUCUGAAAAAACCUUAAGUGCUUCUAAACACUGAGCCAUCUUUCCAGCCCCGAUUUUCUCCCCUUCUUUUAAAUGUAAAGAACAUAUGCAGGGAGAAGGCUGCAUAACUCUUUUGUCAUCCUAAUGAGAAAAACAGUAUUAGUUGAAAAGUAGAUUUGGUGUGGUCUGACCAUACUGUAUCACAUGCAGUUUCUUCACCCAAAUGUAUUUUAGAGUUUUGUUGUGUUUUGUUUUAGAGUCUACAGAAUCUAUGUAGCCCUACCUAGCCUGGAACUCACUAUGUAGAUCACACUGGACUCCAACUUGAAAUCCACCCUGCCUAUCAAGUGCUAAUAUUAAAAAUGAGUGCCACCACAUCCAGCAUAUUUCUAUAUCAAUAGGUAUGAACUGGCAUAAGGAUUUGGCUAAUACAAGUUCAUAAUAUACUGUAUGUUAUACUCAUAUAGCAUGUGAAAAAUAAACAGGUUGUAGCCAAAAUUAUCUCUUGCAUUUGAGAAAAUUAUCUAUUUGUUGCUAAUUGAUAGAAACUGGAAGGUAAUUCAUGGAUUGAGCUUGUUUAUAAAAUAUAUGAGGGUAGUCUUGACAACUAGUUCUUUAUGGUAGUUGAAUUACCUUAAGACUAAUAAUGCAUUUAAAAUGAAACAUUUUUCAGUAGUGGCACUCAAAGUAUUUGUGGGUUUUAAAAUUAGACAAUAUGGGGACAAUUGGAAGGCUCAGUUGUUAAAAGCACCUACUGAAGCCCGGCAGUGGUGGUGCACCCCUUUAAUCCUAGCAAUUGGGAGGUAGGAGGCAGGAGGAUUUCUGAGUUCAAAGCCAGCCUGGUCUACAGAGUGAGUUCCAGGACAAUUCACAAUUGCCUUUAACUCCGUUUCAGAGAAUAUGACCUCUGCCAGCAUCUGCACACACAUGGUGCACAUAAAGGCUCAUACAGGUACACACACAGACAUAAAUUUUAAAAUUUUUUUAAUUAGACAUUCUGCAUUAUUGAAGUAGCGCCAAAUAAAAUAAAAGAUCACAUCUUUUGGGAUGUAGUUCAGUUAUAGAACACUUACAUAUCUUGCAAAGACGUUGGGUUCUAUCACCAGCUCUGGAAUACUGAAAAGCAGCCCUCUUCUGUCCUGCUAAAGAUUAGGCAUACCUGCCUUUUUUUUAAUGGAGGUGUUUGGCUAUGGUUUAUUAUAUGCAUUUUAUUUAAUAUCGCUUGACAUUACU
rnacentral:lncRNA from 1 species